UGCGUCACCAUAGCGGGGCAUAAUCCCAAUUCUUGCAUAACCUUCCUUCUCAAAUUCGAUCAGCCUAUGCAACGUGUAAUAUGUGAUUUUGAUUUUACAAAAUAAUGUAGCUGCUUAUUGUUGGAUAAGUUUAUAUGAAGUACUUACUGACCGCCUGUAGUGAGUCUACCAAUGUCAAUAGUAAGUGGUAUAUCUAUGAUUAUGUUGUACCUACAUCAAGAGAAACAAUAUCUGUGAAUUGCUAUCACUGUUUACCAUAAUAUUCUACUCUGAGAUAUUCUAGUAUUACCAAUCAAGUUAAAAAUUCAUAAAUAGUAUGUACUGUAAUCGAUAAAUUGCUGGGAGCAAAUGGUAUUUCUUAAAUCCACAUACUUCAGAGUAACUCCUAUGUCGUGACAAAGUGUAGAUCUGUUCAGCUUGAGGUCAACUUUAUGUUUUAGUUUGGUUCCAUCAUCUGCAUUCAAAUAAACUCGAGUUGUGGUUAUAACUUGAUUUCAACCUUGGCACAUGAACAUGGUGUAAAAUUCUAGAGAAGUGCAACAUAUUAUAAAUUACCUGAGACAACACCAACAACUAGGAAAGGCUUCUUUGCAUCUGAGCCAAAGAUGACAAGUUCUCCUGAUCCAGGAGCUACCUACAGUCAUGUGAAUGAAGUGCCUUAAAUCAAACAGAUGACUGAACAAGGAUAACAACAUGUGCAUGUAUUUGGAAACAUCUUGUAAUCAUACUUUUGUAUGCAGUGUGGUGUUUUUUUUUGCAGUUAUUCAUUAUUAUGUGCAACAUAUAUGAUUGUGUAAAAUAGAGUACCUCCUCUUUUUUAAGUAUAUAUUUAUAUAUUUGCUUCUGAUAAACCCUGGACUUCUGUUAUUUUUGCAGUUAAAUAGCGCAUUGGUACGGACUACUCAUCUUGCAAAACGCAGGGUUAUAUAAGCAAGGCAUGUAACAUAGAUGAUAGAUAAAUUCGACGUGGCUGCUUUUCCCCCCUUUUCCAGAUCAGAUCUGGAGUAAGCUUCCAUCAUAUGUACCGCAGCUGAGUUCUUUCCACACCUGGGUUGUAUUGUUCACUUAUUUUUUGAGCCAACAGAUUGAGGACACGGAUGUAACUGAAACAAGGAUGUUAAUUCUGUUCUCUGGCAGAUGUAUCAAUAAAAUUAAAUAAUCUUGUUCUCUCGCAGAUGUAUCAAUAUGUUAUUCUUUAUUGAUUGAUAUUUAAGAUCAAGUUACUAUGUGACUGCAGUAUUU
rnacentral:lncRNA from 1 species